CUGUUCCACCAGAGGAAUGGAGUUUGAUCAUGUCACUGGGAUGAAGAUAAGGAUUAAAAGCACGAGCUUCAGAGUUAAGCAGUUGGCUCCAGUGGAUCUCUCAGCUGGGAACCAUGACCAAAGGAGCAGAUGGAGGCUGGCUGCUCUAAGCACCAGGGAGGAAGAGGAAGAAGAGGAUGAAGAAGAGGAAAAGGGUUUUCAUGGUGAACGAUACUAGGCCAGGAACAGAGUUCUUGAUUUUCAUCUAAUCAGGAUACAUAUGAGUCUGAGACCUCAGCUUAGUGCUCUAAUAUGGACAGUUGGGUACCAUAUGUCCUCUCUUUGAGGAUACUGGAGAU